rnacentral:tRNA from 1 species
UGUAGGGUGGUGAAACUGGCAGACACACCUCCUUGUCUCGGUGGCGGAGAUUAUGGGAAAUCCGGAAACGGCCUAACCACUCCUUGAAGGUUCGACUCCUUCCCCUACAG